AAUCUUCCUUCUAGCACUGGAUUGUUACCAUCUGUGUAAUUUGAAUCUGUUACCCUAAAAACGACGAUCCCCAGCAAAACUAUGAUUCCCAGCAUCCUACUCACUCCCUGUCAUUACUGCUGCCGUAGACAGGAUAUAAAUUGGGUGGAGUUCUGUGUCUAGUGCUCUUUCCUUCCUGUCAAGGCUUUGGUGGAGCAAGGAUUUUUGAGCAGAAUUAAUACAAGAACAGAAAGUAAGAGAAGAGAGAAAGGAAGGAAGGAAGGAAGAAAGGAAGGAAGAAGGAAGGAAGGAACGAACGAACGAACGAAUGAACAAAUGAAUGAAGGAAGGAAAGAACAAAGGAAGGAAGAAAGAAGAAAAAAAAAGAAAGGAAGGAAGAAGUCAAAACUGAGGACCCUUCUAUCUCUAGCCCUUUGGAUCUGUGAAAACCCUCUGUUGGCUUAAGAGUGUUUUGUUUGGACACUGGAACAAUGAUUAAUGAGAUUUUUGUUAUAUCUUGAUAUAUCUUUCCUAUCUUGCUAUCAUUUGUUUCAGUGAGAUGUAGUGUAAUGGGACAAACUCUGGACCCAUUUAGUCCUGGCCUUCCCCUAACUAGCUGAGUAACCAAUGGCUAGGUUCCUCAUUGCGACUAGAUGCUAUGAUCUCUAAAGUACCUUCUUGAUUCACUAUUCUCAUGGAUCUGAGAUCUCAUUCCCAUGUGUACUUUUUCCAAAAAUAUAGAUCCCAAUCCACCUGUGUCUUCUCAUUCUCAUCCCUGUCUUCUUGCAAAUCCUCUGCAUGGUACACACACACACACACACACACACACACACACACACACACACAGAGUACGAUGGAAACCUUCCCCUAAGUCUCUUGACAGGAUGAGAGUUCCAAUUCCAUUUCUUAUUAGACCUCACUGUCAAUGUCAAUAUAGAGGUUGGAAGGGUCUUGAGAAACCACUUAUUCUAACUCCUCCAUUCUACAGGUAAGGACAUGGAGGUCUAUUUGAAAUGACUUGUCCAAGGUCACACAAGCAGGAAGGAACAGAACUGCAAUUCAGAGCUGCAAUUCAACCUUGAGUCCCUAGACUCAAAUUCAUGUUCUUUCCAUUGCAUCAAGCUAUCUCCUGGACACCUGAGAAGCCCAUCUGCAUCUUCUGGUCAGAACUAGAAUCUAUGCCUCUCUCUCUCUUAAAACAUCCCUUACUUUGCUUCUUCUGAACAAUUUCAGUUUGGUAACAGGUUACGUACAGCAUUUAAAGGCUGAUGAUUUUAUCCAAGCCAAGAUGAAGUAUCUGAGGAGAUCUUUUAGAGAGGAUCUCCUUUCUCUUCCUAAAUUUUCAUUCUCAGGGAUUCUUAUUGUGUGUUUUAAAAAAUUAUAUCAGCCCUAACCAUUUUUUGUCUUCAUUGAUUGUUUUCAUCUUGAAUAUUCCUGUAUGGACAUCUCCUCCCUGCAUAUUGGUCUGCGUUAGCCAACCCAUCAUUUCCAUCUUCUGAGUAUUCUAAAUAUUUCUUUCCAGCCUCUUUCUUAGUGGAACAUGUAGCUAUCAUAAAUAGCAUUUGGUAGCUAGAGCUUUCUGUAGGGAGUUGAGACUUAGGUUUAUUGUUUUUAUUUUUUUCUGUUUGUCAUUCUGUAAUUCUUUUUUUUUAAUUACAUAUUUAAUUCAUAGCUGCGCUUUUUGUGGUGGCAAAAAAUUGGAAAAUGCGGGGAUGCCCUUCAAUUGGAGAAUGGCUGAACAAAUUGUGGUAUAUGUUGGUGAUGGAAUACUAUUGUGCUAAAAGGAAUAAUAAAGUGGAGGAAUUCCAUGUGAACUGGAACAACCUCUAGGAAGUGAUGCAGAGCGAGAGGAGCAGAACUAGGAGAACAUUGUACACAGAGACUAAUACACUGUGGUAUAAUCAAACGUAAUGGACUUCUUCAUUAGUGUCAAUGCAGUGAUUCUGAACAACUUGGAGGGAUCUAUGAGAAAAAACACUAUCCACAUUCAGAGGAAAAACUUUGGGAGUAGAAAGAGAGAAGAAAAACAACUGCUUGAUCACAUGGGUUGAGGGGGAUAUGACUGGGGAUGUAGAUUGUAAAUGUCCACCUUCGUGCAAAUAUCAAUAAUAUGGAAAUAAUUGAUCAAUGACACAAGUAAAACCCAGUAGAAUUGUGUGUUGGCUAUGGGGGGAAGGGAGGGAAAGAACAUGAAUCAUGUAACCAUGGAAAAAUAUUCUAAAUUAAUCCAUUAAAUAAAAAUUUUCAAUUAAAAAUUUUAAAGCAAAAAUAAGUAAAUAAAAAGACAUAUUUAGGGGGUGGCUGUGUGGCUCACUGGAUUGAGAUCCAGGCCUAGAGAUGGGAGGUCUACCAAGAAAGUGAAUACUUUCUAUAUUUUUAUUUUUUAAUUAAUUAUUUUUUUAGAAUAUUUUUCCAUGGUUACAUGCUUCAUUUUCUCUCCCUCCUCUCUUCCCUCCCCUCUCCUGGAGCUGAUUCCACUGGUUUAUACAUCUUACUGAGAGAAAAUAAAGUGGCUUUUGAGUAGUGAUGAAGAAGGGAACAAGGCAAUCCUAUUGUCAUGGGAUCUGGAGCACAAUACUGUAUGUUUGUGAGAGGAUGGACAAAUUUAUGAAUAAAUUGGGUCAUCCUAAAAGAUAAUAAAGCCCAUUGGCCCCAUGGAGUGGGAAGCUACAUGCAGCCUCAGGUUCACUAGCAGAGUGGUCUUAGCAACAGACACCUGUAGAAAUGCAAUGGCUGUCACCAGGUUUUGUGUUGCUUUCUCUUUUUUUUUUUUAAGAAAAGAAAAACAAAAAUGAGUGCUACUAUCAUUGUUAACACUUAUUUUGAGUGGCUACUGCUAAUUCUUAAAUUAAACUUUGCAAAGAAUCAUCAGAUGGAGAGAAGCAGCCCAGUGACCUCAAAUUGAAGGCCAAAGACAACAAACAAGAACAUUAAUCAUCUCUCCCUGCCAUGGGAAAAAGCAGCUCUGUCCUUCCAUCCAAUGUGAGGAAUUAGGGAAAAGGAAGGCCUGGAGAGUCCCACCUUCCCCUAACUAAAUCUAGCCCUUUCCCAUCCCUAGGGCAUUUUUUUUUUAAAGCUUAUGUUCUGCCUAUUCUUUUUCCUGAAAUGAUCUUUUAUUUUAUUUUUUCCCCUCAAUUAUAUGUAAAAACAAUUUCUAGCAUUCUUUUUCAAAUUUUCACAUUCCAAACAUUCUCCCUCCCUUCCCUACCACUUCCUUGAGAAAGCAAGUAAUUUGAUAUAGAUUAUACAUGUGCAGCCAUGCAAAACAUAUUUCCAUAUUAACCAUGUUAGAAAAGAAAACACAGAACAAAACAAAACAAGAAAAAUAAAGUAAAAAAACUAUGUCUCGAUAAAAUUCAGACUCCAUCAGUUCUUCCUCUGGAGGUGGAUUGUAUUUUUCAAAAUAAAUCCUUCAGAAUCAUCUUGGAUUAUUGUAGUGAUGAUUUUAGCCCAGUCAUUUACAGCCAAUCAUCAUACAAUAUUGCUGUUAUUGUGUAUAAUGUUUUCCUACUUCCGAGUCUUUCCAGAUUUUUCUGAAAGCAUCCUUUGCUAUUUCUUAUAGCAAAAUACUAUUCUAUCACAAAACAUAUGCUACAACUUGCUUGGCCAUUCCCCAAUUGAUGGUUAUCUCCUCAACUUCUAAUUCUCUGCCACCACAAAAAAGAGCUGCUACAAAUAUUUUGGUAUACACAGACCCUCCCUUGGGCAUUCUUAUAGAGAUCCAUUCACUGGGUGGCUCCAUGAAUAGACUACUGGACUUGGAGUCAGGAAGUUCAAAUAUGGCCUCAAUCACUUUGCUAACUAUGUGACCCAGGGCAAUUACUUAAUCUAUUUGCUUCAGAUUUCCCAUCUAUAAAAUUGGGAUAAUAAUAGCAUCUACCUCCCAGGGUUUUUGUGACAAUAAAAUGAGAUCCUCCAAAACAAUCAGUUACCAAGUCAAUUGUACUUCCAGAGUAUUACCUCAAAUCCAUUCCUUUUUCUCUACUAACCCAGACAGCUGCCCUGGUUUAGACCUUCAUCAUCUCUUCCUGAGAUGAUAGUUAACAGUUGACUUCCAAGACUCUCUUCUCUCUCAUACAGCCUCUACACAGCUGCCAAAUUGCCAAUACAAAGGUGUAAUCUGAUUACUCCCCAACUCAAAAACUUUUAGUCACUUCCCAUUACCCAUUUGAUUAAAAACAAACUUCUUUCAUCUGAUAUUUAUGGGCUCUCUACCAUAUGUCUCCUGCUCACUUUCCCCGUUGAUUCAGACAUACAUAACUACUCCCUUUCAUAAAUGUUUUUCCAGCCAAAAUGGAUUUCUGGCUGAUUCCUAAUCUUAAUAGACCAUCUCUCACUUCUUGUCUUUGGAUAAAUCCCUGGAAUUCACUCUGUCUUCAUUUCACAAUACUCAUCCUCCUCCAAGGUCUAACCCAUAUAUCUCCUCUUCUGGGAAACCUUCCCAGAUCGUUCCAGAUGUUAGUGCCCUCUACUCUCUUAGUUUUCCUCUUAUUAUCCUUGUCAAUAUACAUGGUCUGUCCUUCCAGCAAAAUAUAAGUUCCUUAAAGGCAAAGAUUAUUUUUUCUUGUUUUUGUAGUUGUAUACUCAGCAUCUAGAAGAAUAUUUUGUGUACAACUGACUUUUGUUUUUGAAUCUGUAAUCAGAGAUUUAUAGAGUGAGGCUUUUCUCCCCUCUGAUCACACGGAUACUACCAACUACUAGAGGCAAGGGCAAAAGCCAGACAUAUAUUUAUAAAAUUCAAAUCAUUAGUAGUAUUCUUCUGUUCUUUUAGUCAUUCUUCUUUCUAUCCCUGAGAAGAGACAGGAACUCUCAUUUCUUUUGUUUUCAAUAGCACCAUCAUCAAUUAAUUUGAAGAGAGAGCACAUUGACCAAAGCCAAGCACAAAAUGGGAAGAGAAAAGUUUAGGACAAUUCAAAGACUCUUCCCCUAUUUCUUUAUUGGGGAUCCUGAACCAUGCAGUUUGCAGAUUGGUCUUUGAUUUUCUUAUCCAUUGUCACUUUAGAAACCUUUCAGCAUUAUUGUUUUAAUAGAUUCUGGAUUCUCAUUUUCAGUGGAUUUGAAUUCUUCUGCUUCAGAUGAGCAGAACUUGACACCACCUGGCUUUAAAAGCAAUAAAAAUGAUGUUAGAGUGGUUGACCCUACCUGUGUGACUUUGGACAAAUCCCUGAAUCUUGUUGGACCUUAGUUUGUUCAUCUGUAAGAUGAAGGAGUUGGACUAGAUGGCCCUAAGCCUCCUUGCAGCUUUAGAUAUUUGAUCCUAAAUCAAAUUUACCAUUGUUAUUGGUAUCCAUCAAUGGGAAUUCUAUAGUAGCAUUCUUACUUAGUCUUUCCCUAAGUCCAUACUCCAGUUGGGUGCCAUUGAUUUUCAUAAAACAGAAUUCUAAUCAUGUCAAUUCUCUGUUUAAUAAACUCCAUUUGCUCCCUUACACCUCCAGGAUCAACUAUAAAAUUCUCUGCUUGGUUUUAUGAAGCCUUUCAUGACCCAGCUUCUCUCUACCUUUCUGACCUUCUUACCCUUCCCUCCCCUCCAUGAUACAGUUACACUGACCUUCAUUUGGCUAUUUCUCAUGUCUAUAAGGCUGCAUCUCCUCUCCUCUGCCUCUUGAUUUCCCUGGUCUCAUCCAAGAUUCCUCAAAUCCCACUUUUUGCAGGAGGUCUUUCCCUUGCAUCCCCUCCCCAUCCCCAAUAGCCUCCCCCCUUGAGAUUACCUUUCAUUUAUGCUGCAUAUAUCUUGCAUGAAUAUAGGACUUAUAUGUUCAAAAAUACUUAUAGCAGUUCAUUUGGUGAUGGCAAAGAAUUGAAAAUUGAGAGGAUGGCCAUCAAUUGGCAAAUGGUUGAACAAGUUGUGGUAUAUGAUUGGGAUGGAAUACUAUUGUAGUAUAAGAAAUGACAAAGGGGAUGGUUUCAGAAAAGCCUGCAAAGACUUAAAAGAACUGAUGCAAAGUGAAUGGAACAGCAUUGCAUUCUAUUUUGGGAACUCAGAGAUGAAACAAUACAUAUUCCUUAUCCUCAAGGAGUUUAUAAUCUCCCGAGAGCAUACAGAACAUACAUGAAUAAUUAUAAUGGCAGGUAAUACUAAUAGCUAACAUUAUGUAGUGCCUACUAUGUGCCAGGCACUGUACUAAAUAUUUUUUAAAUAUUAUCUCAUUGGAUCCUUAAAACCCUAGGAGGUAGAUGCUGUUAUUACUUCCAUUUUACAUAUGAGGAAAUUAAGUGGUUUACCUAGGGUCAAAAAAAUAUUAAGUGUCUAAGGCUGGAUUUGAACUUGUGUCUUCUUGAUGCCAGGCCCAGUACUCUAACUACUGUGCCACAUAGUUGCCCCAAAGGCUAAUGGAGAGAUAUAGUCAAAAGGCUUGAGAAAAUUUUGAGGAGGGAGAUACCAUUUUCAACUGAGUGAACAGGGCAGGCAUUGUUAAGUAGAUUAUUCCAGAACUUGGCCUUGAUGGAUAAAAAGAACCUUGAUGGGUCAGGGAGAAGCAGGGAAUAGACUUCAUUCUUAUAGAUAUUAGCUUGUGGAAAUUAAUGGGAGUAGCAGAUCGCAGACAUAGAUUGGGGAAAGUUUAACAGUAUGACUUAACCAAAACAUAGAAUAUAUGAAUAAGAACAAAAUAAGGUAGAGGUAGCUAAAUAGCACAGUGGAUCAUCAAGCCUGGAAUCAGGAGAAUCUGGGUUCAAAUCUGACCUCAGACACUUCCUUGCUGUGUGACCCUGGGCAAGUCACUUAACCCCAAUUGCCUUGCCCUUAUUGCUCUUCUGUUUUAGAACUGAUACUAAGAAAGAAGGUAAGGGUUUAAAAAAAAUUUUUUUAAUAAGAAUUUUUUUUUAAAAGAGUGAAGAUGGGAAAGACAGACUAGAACCCAUCUUGUAGGGCUGUAAAUGCCUAUCUGAGGAGUUUUUCAUAGACACUAGAGGAAGUAUGGGGACAUUGAAGGCUUUGAAGUAAGGGGAUGGCACAAGUGGACUUGUAUAUUGGAAGUUAAUUUCAGCAGCUGUGGAAAGGAUGGAAUGAAGAGAGGAGAGGCAGAGACACCAAUCAGAAGUCAGUUGUCCUAUUGAGACACUUUAGUUAGUAGCUAUAUGAGAGGAAGAGAGGUGAUAGAUUUGAGAGAUACCAUGGAAGUAAGUUGAAUAGGAUAUGGUAACUGAUUGGAUACAGGAAGGGAAGGAGAAGGGACAAUCACAGAUAACUCUCAGGUUUUGAGCCUGAUGGAAUACUUCAGUGGAUGGUGUUAUCAUCAUCAGAAAACAGGAAAUGAGGAAGUAGGGUAAGGUGAUAUGUUCUGUUUCAGACAUAUUGAAUUUAAGGAGAUAACAGGACAUCCAAGGGGUUAAGUCUAUCAGGCAAUUGUAAAUGUAGGACUGGAUGUAAGGGCAAGAUGAGACUAGAUAUAUAAAUGUAGCAGUUAUCUGCACAGAGGUGAUAAUUGAAACCAUGGGAGUGCCUGAGAUGGCUGAAGUAAAGAGUAAAAGGAGACUUCAAACUACCCUUUGGCAAUUGUGGUAGGGGGUGGAGGAUGGAAAAGUUGGGGGAAUUAGAAGCUAUUAGCUAUAAUCAGAUGGGCAGGUAAUCCAGCCUGGCUAGAUCUCUCCAAUCUGCAGUUAAUGAACUUGGUAACUUAACGAAGGAAGAAGAGAAAUGUCAAGAUAACCCAGAGAGAAGUAUCUUGAAAAUAUCAGGAGGAUCAGGACAGUGUUGGGGGACACCCUCAUGUGGGAAUGAGAGGAAAGUAGGAUCAAAUUUUGUUUAGAUCUGGAAGAGAGUGAAGAGGACAUCUAGUCUCUUCCCUUCAUUUUGUAGAUGAGGAACUGACUCUCAGAAAGAUUUACUGACUUGCCCAGGAUCACACAGCUAGUAAGUGGAUGCGACAGGAGUUGAAUCCAAGCCUACCUCACUCCAAGUACAUUGUACUGUCCACUAUAAAUAUGUAUUGCAUAAGAGCACUGGUGUAAUCUACAUCAAACUACCAUCUUGGGAAGGGAGGAAGGGAGGGAGGCAGGGAGUGAAUCUGCAUCUCAAUGUGUUAGACAACAAUUGUUAAAAAUGCUUUCUACAUGCAAUUGAAAAAAAAAAGAAAAUGAUGAAUGAAGGAGUCAGAGAAGGAACAGUCUUCGUGCACAAACUCUGUCUUUGAAAAUUCUCCAUUUCACAAAUUACCAAGAAGACAUUGUUCCUUUGCUCCUCUAACUGUAGCCUCUCAAACCAUGGUGAUCAAUGAGUAUUUUUCUAAGUAUCUAAAAUUUUGGUUAGCUAUCUCCUCUCCUGAAUUUUCAGAGGCUUCCACUUAGGGAUGUAUGAGAUAGUGAGGAAGGAAAUAUUAGGAGCAUAUGAUAAAUCGGAAAAUCAACAAAGAAUUUGUAUGAGAUGUGAGAUUAUUAACCUAACAAAGGAAAAAGAAAUGAUGUUUUUAGAUCAUAUUUAGAAAUUUAGUUUUAAAAUAUCAGUUGCCGAUGCAGAAUGAAAUGAGCAGAACCAGAAGAACAUUAUACACAGAAAGUGAAACAUUAUAGAACAAUACAAUGUAAUGGACUUUGCUUAUACAAGACAAUCCCAAGGGUCUUAGGAGAAAGAACACUAUUCACAUGGAGAGAAAGAACUGUGGGAGUAAAAACACAGAAGAAAAACAAAUGACUUCUCAUUUGUUUAGAUGGAUAUAUGAUUUGGGGUUUUGGUUUUCAAAGAUUGCUGUAUUGCAAAAAUGAAUAAUAUGGAAAUAUGUAUAAGUGAUAACAUUUGUAUAACCCAGUGGACGUGCUUAUUGGAUCUGGGAGGGAGGAGGAAAAGGGGAGAGAAAAAAUGAAAUAUGUAAACAUGAGAAAAUAUUUUUAAAAGAAAUUAAAAAAAAUAUCAGUUGCUAUUUCUUUUUUCUGCUUUUUCCCUCCCAGGGUGGCUAGGAGGAUAACCUGAGAACAUUUGUGAAGUGCUUUGCAAACUUCAAAGUUCUAUAUAAACAGUCAUUAUUAUGAUUUUAUCUUCAGCCAUAAAAUGUGGUAUAGUUCUGCAAAGGGGGCAAAGCAGAAGAAUACCUGUUUCUUCAUUUACAAGCCAGGAUGGUAACAUUUGCAAAACUUAUAAUCACAGGGUUGUCAGGAGUGAAGUUGUACAUUAUAUGAAAUGUCAUCACUCUAGACAACAUUCGGCUACUUCAACCCUCUAAUUCCUAUAAUAUUUUUGCAGAGAUCUAUGGCGUGUGGAGUAGAUGUCCAAUGCUAAACUAUGAAUAGAUACUUGGAAACAAACAUGCCAACUGUGAAAAGGAUGUAAAGGUUUGCAAUUUGCAAAACUGUUGCAAAAAACUGAGAAAUGCAAACCUUAGGACUGAUUGACAGUGGCAUGUGACCAAGGGUCACAUGGGAGCGUGAGCCUGAGGAUCUGGGAAGAUUCUAUGGACCACUAGUUUGUCUUAUGAGUAUGUCUGCUCUCCUUGAAUGACCUUGUCUGCUCUCCUGGAAGACCAAAGGAGGAGUUUGCCUGUGACCAACAGAGGAAGGAAUUUUUCUGGAUUUUGGCUGCUGGCAGCAUCAGUGUGGACUUAUUGGACAUCUAACAACUUAAGAUUCCUGGCUCUAUUUAAUUUGGACUCCUGGUGUAAGAUUGGGAUAUUUGGGAGGUUAAGGUUUUAUUUUAGUAGCAUAGUUUAUAUAGCUUAGUUACUUAUAAUCUUUUAAAUUAAGUUAAAGAAUAAGUAUAUGCCUAAACCCUUAUUCCUUUCCUACCCUUCCCAAACAAUAAAGCAGAAUUUUUAUAUGUUA